AGAGCGAACGCUGGCGGCGUGCUUAACACAUGCAAGUCGAACGCGCAGUUUUCUGUAGCAAUACAGGAAAUGGGCGCGUGGCGAACGGGUGCGUAACACGUGGGCAACCUUCCCUUCGGUGGGGGAUACCCUCGCGAAAGCGAGACUAAUACCGCAUAACAUUCCCUUGGUUACGACUGGGGGAUUCAAAGCAGCAAUGCGCCGGAAGAGGGGCCCGCGGCCGAUUAGCUAGUUGGUGAGGUAACGGCUCACCAAGGCAAUGAUCGGUAACCGGUCUGAGAGGACGAUCGGUCACACUGGAACUGAGACACGGUCCAGACUCCUACGGGAGGCAGCAGUGGGGAAUAUUGCGCAAUGGGCGAAAGCCUGACGCAGCGACGCCGCGUGGGGGAUGAAGCUUUUCGGAGUGUAAACCCCUUUCGACCCGGACGAAAGCCCGCAAGGGCCUGACGGUACGGGUAUAAGAAGCCCCGGCUAACUACGUGCCAGCAGCCGCGGUAAAACGUAGGGGGCCAGCGUUGCUCGGAAUUACUGGGCGUAAAGGGUCUGUAGGCGGUGCGGCAAGUCGGAAGUGAAAUCUCAGGGCUCAACCCUGAGACUGCUCCCGAAACUGCCGUGCUCGAGUGCGAGAGAGGCGGGUGGAAUUGCAGGUGUAGCGGUGAAAUGCGUAGAUAUCUGCAGGAACAUCCGAGGCGAAAGCGGCCCGCUGGAUCGC
rnacentral:rRNA from 1 species